rnacentral:rRNA from 1 species
GUCGGGUUGUUUGGGAAUGCAGCCCAAAUCGGGCGGUAAAUUCCGUCCAAGGCUAAAUAUUGGCGAGAGACCGAUAGCAAACAAGUACCGCGAGGGAAAGAUGAAAAGGACUUUGAGAAAAGAGUCAAAGAGUACUUGAAAUUGUCGGGAGGGAAGCGGAUGGGGGCCGGCGGUGCGUCCCGGUCGGAUGUGGAACGGCGCGUAGCCGGUCUGCCAAUCGACUCGGGGCGUGGACCGACGCGGAUUGGGGCGGCGUCGCAAGCCCGAGCCUUUGUUGUGCUCGCGGAGACGUCGUCGCCUCGAUCGUGGCUGGCAGCGCGCGCCCACGGCGUGCUUCGGCAUCAGCGCGCUCCAGGCGUCGGCCUGCGGGCUCCCCAUUCGGCCCGUCUUGAAACACGGACCAAGGAGUCUGACAUGUGUGCGAGUCAACGGGCCAGAAAACCCGUGAGGCGCAAGGAAGCUGACUGGCGGGAUCCCCUUGAGGGUUGCACCGCCGACCGACCUUGAUCUUCUGAGAAGGGUUCGAGUGUGAGCAUGCCUGUCGGGACCCGAAAGAUGGUGAACUAUGCCUGAGC